ACUGGUGAAGCUUUUGGGAAAGAGAUGAGCUCCAGAAAGCACUUGUUCAUUCAGCAAGUAAGGAAAUAGUGGGAGGUCUAAAUAAGGCUACAUGUUCAGGACGUUGCCGUGUCGAUUAUUUCUCAUUUAAUUUGUUUUUUCUGGAACGCUAACCCUUUAGUCCUUUUGUGACAAUUGUAGCAAUUUUUGUUACAAAUGUUUCCAAUUCUCUUUGCUGAUGACUGAAUGAUUUAAAUCUUUUUACGCUACAAUUAAAAGAGAAGUACAAACAGAUUUCAUAUUCAACAUUUGAAGACAUUUUGGUUCUGGACCCCAACGUUUGUCUGUGGCUAACUACACGGACUGUUGCUAACGUUAGCUCCGGUGAUUUGCGAUGGCAGCAACAUGUUUUGCAGUUACAUGAUACCAGAGGAUUGAAGUGAUGCAGAGAUAAAAAAAAAAGAAAAAAAACUGUCUACAUCCAGUUA